rnacentral:tRNA from 1 species
UCCUGCGUGGUGCAAAUGGUUAACACACUCAGCUAUUAACCGAAAGGUUGGUGGUUCAAAUCCACCCAGGAG